CGCAGCUCGGUCUUUUACGUCUGGAUUUGGGAGGCGUUGUGUCGUUUUCGGAACAAUGGCUCUCAGUGGCAUAACGGAGCUGUUACCUGGAGAUGUUCACAUACAAAGGAAAACUAGAAAAUACAUGAGGGAAUAUUUGCUGGGAAAUUACUUGGUUGGAACCUGACCAUUUUACCCAGCAUCCUGGGAGUUGAUGAAUACUAACAGACCUACAAAUGUCACUGGCUAGCAACGUAAUUUUUAAAUGAGGGGUCGCUGUCUUUCCAUUGAAAGAGGCCAGUUUGCUGUGACCUUCCUAAGAUGUAACCCGUUUCUGGUUAAUAACCACCAGAUUUACUUGUGAAAAAUCGAUAAGGAAAAGCUCUUCAUUUAACUGACAUGGGAAGAAAACCUACAAAUCAAGACAAUAUUUUUUUAUUUCUGUAAACAGGUUAUGAAACCGCAUCAGAUUCAGAUUAAUGUAUUUGUAAGAUUUAAGCCAUUACUUUUUAUGUCAUACUGCCCUAGAGAAUCCUAAACUGUUAAGCAGAUUACUUUGUAGAUCUAUUUCUAUUUUAAAUACAGGAAUGCAAAGGAAGGUACAUAUUUUUAAUGGAGAAGUCUUUGAUUUCAGUUAACCAGACUUGUAAUCAGCUUAUUGUGAAUGUUUCACCUUUGGCCACCUGUUUGAAUUUAAAAUCUACGAUUGUAAUUAAAGCUGAGUGAAAAUUUACACUGAAUAUUGUGGAAAAGUCCUUAGAUUUUUAUGGAGAGAUGACUCAUUUUGGCAGUAUCACACGGUACAGAUCAUGUUGGGUUUUGUAGCGUACUGAAUAUUACUGGAUUAGUGGUGAGCAAAACGGAAAGACUGAGUCUAUUACUGGGGGAGGGGAAAAUACCAGGUAUUACUGGUUCUAAUUACUGAAUUCUGGAAUGUUUGGUCCUAAUGAAUUACAGUUUGAAAGGAUGCUUAAGAUGGAAAAUGUGAGGGACACCUUGGUGGCUCAGCAAAACAUCUCAGCUCCUCCAUGCUGGGCAUGAAACCUUUAAAAAAAAAAGAUGGGAAAAUGUGGAAUGCUGAAAAUGAAGAGAGCACAGCAUGACAACGGGUCAUGGGGGAAGUUCACAGAUAAAACCAAAUAUUGCAUAGAAUGGAUUUAGUGUAGACAGUAAUAGCAUCUGAUCUAACCAAGAUGGUUUGGCCCCAUGCAUGAUCAUUUUCCCUAAAUAGCUACAUGAAUAAAUUGUUGCUAAGCCUAUACUUCAGUGUUAGUCAAAAGAAUAUUCUUGUCAGCUUAUGAUUAUGAACUACCUUUUUUCCCAAAAUGUUUUCUUAGUGAAAAUACAACGUUGGACCCAUGUAGUUUAAGAGGCUCAGUGACAACCAUGCCAUUUAGUGGGUAGGUACAUAGUAGAUUUGCUCACGUAUUGCAAUGGUGUACAAAAUGCACCUUGGAAAAUGUAUAUUGAAGCCAUAUUAAAAUAGGUAUUAAUGCUGUCAGACUUCAAAUAAUCUGGGUCUCCACACACUUGUAGGUGCAAGGAAUUCCACAGUGGCCAUACAGUCAUGAGAACAUGUAGAAUGAACUGUAAGUCUGCAGGAAAUAACCAUGCUUUACAUGGAUUAUUCAUAGGAAGCAAGAGUUCCCUAAACUGAGACACCAAGGUGUGGUCCCCUUAAUGCAAAGGCCUUAAGGCUUGCUAAAAUCCAGCAAAGGGAAAAGCCACUUGGUAUAACAGAUUACAUGUGUAAUGGGAUUUUGCUAUAUUAACAAAAGAAAAGUGAUUGGGGUCUGUACAACCUUUUCAAGAAACUGUCUACCCUUUUUGACAAAGCUGGCACCUCACUUCAAAACAAGUUGUGAAAUAAAUAAAAUUUGCUUUGGAGCACUCUGA